AUUAGAGAAAGCUGGAAACGUUAAGAUAGUUAUCACAUAUAAAUUAUUUGUUCGGAUAAUUUAGUGAAUCAUGGAUGAUGGUGACACAUCCGAAGAUAGGCUAAUAGUGAUGUAUUGUAUGGUUGGAUUUAUAGCUUUCGUCCUUGUCUCUCUCGGCAUCAUUGGAUUUACUUGUUUUCGUACUUGGCUUUCUCUCGAUAAACCCUCGUAUACUCCUCUUAGAACCGACUCCGGGAAGGAAGAGCAGGAAACAAAAUUCUCCAAUCGAGUUUGAAGAUUUGAGUAGAACAUAUACAUAUGCAUGGUCUGUUUAUCAGUUUGGGGCUUUACUUUUACAGGCCAUAAUUGUUUUCCUUAUUAUUAUUAUUUUUUUUAAAUUGAUCGAUC
rnacentral:lncRNA from 1 species